CUCGCCGGGAAUUCAGAAACCUGUUUGAGCCGUUUCUGUAGGGCUGAACCUUGUUAUUUAGUAAAUAUUUAUUUAGCUCUCUGAGGACUCAGAACUAAUCACUGUCACUUCUCUUUAAUAAUAAAUGGUGAACUUCAAACGCGGCAGAACUCCACCGACUAAUCAGUGCUCUCCGGGAGGUGCAAAACUGCAAUCCGCCAGCGGACAUGAAAGACUGAACAUUUCCUGUUCCCACUCGCGGUGGCCCAGAAUAAACUUAAACCAAGUGAGAGAUGUUGAUGGCGGCCGCCCCCACCGCGCGCCGACCCUGGGAGCCAGGAAUCCAUCUGCCCGCGGCCGAGCGCGCCGCCCCUUCCCCUUUCGCCCCAGGGACCCUCAAAGCCCGCUGCUCUGCUGCUCCACAAUCUGGGCUGCUGCUUCCUUGGGCUUUUAAGGUUGUCUUUUAAAUUCGCUAUUCAGGUGCAAACCAAUUAGCCCUUUCCUUGUUCCCGAGCGAGCGGUGGAGAGCGCCCGGCGCCCCCUCGCCGACGGAAACUCGCGGGCUCCGCGCAGUGGGCUCCUUCCUCGCCGCCGCUCGCUGGCUGUCAAAGAGGUCAGCGCGCCGGGUGGCAUUGACGCCAGCCUUCCAGAAUUUGGUUCUCAAAGUCUUUUUUUAUUUACUAGGAAAGGUGUGAAAAAAGAUUGGAAGCACUUGGGCUCACUGAAAGAACGAAGAGGGUGUUUUCAGUGAUGAGCUUGGAGUGCCCCUCUGUGGAAUAACGUUCCCAGGCUAGGGGUCACAUUGGAGCUGUAGCUGCUGGCCUAUGCCAUAGCCACAGCAACAUGGGAUCUGAGCCACGUCUGCAACCUACACCACAGCUCGCGGCAAUGCCAGAUCUUUAACCCACUGAGUAAGGCCAGGGAUCAAACCUGCGUCCUCGUGGAUACUAGUCGGAUUCUCAGAUUCCCAGGGGGAAAAAGCAGUGCAAAUAAAUGAGGAUCACACAAUCAUCGCCACCAGCUCAGGGCCUCUCUGGGGUUGGAUUUAGUGAUGCAUCUCCUUGGACUCAUGCGGCAUGGAGAAGCUUGAACUGAGAUUCUUGGAAAAGGCAGAGAGGUCAAGAGGAAGAAAGGAAAUCCAGGAAGAAGAGACUCCAAGGUUUCAAUUGGAGACAAAUUCCAUCUACACAUUCUACAAAGAGCCCCUAUAAGAACUGUUAAGACCCUGAGAUGCUCGUGUGUCCGUGAUCUGGCCUCAAAUAAGAAGAAGUUCUUUCUGGUUCUGGACCAGCACACCCACCCUGAUGCUGAGGAGCAUAAGAGCAAGUUUAGAGGUCAGUGAUGGAGUAUUCAUUUUAGGAAAGAUAAUGGAGACAAUAUCAAAACUGCAAAUGGAGUACUGUAUCAGAGUUUAAGUAGCAACUUGAUACAACACAACAGAUGGAGCUAAAACUGAUGUAUGCAACCUAAAAACUGGCAUUUCUCCAAAUAUAAUCUUUAAUUAAUUAACACAGGAGAAAAGUUUCAUUUUAUUGUCUGACAUAUCAAAACAAUUCAAUAAAGUAAAAACAAGAUGCCAUUCAUAAUUCUAGUGCAACUUGUGGAGCAUUCAGACAUUGAAAUUGUCAUUAAUUACUAAGUUAGAGUAAGGCCUAUUCAUUAGAAGUCACAUGAUUAUAUUAUUCAAGGUUAAAUUAGAUUUACACCUUUAUGUGCAGGUACAUUAGUAAAAACAACAUAUAUAAAAUAAUACAGAGGAAAUC
rnacentral:lncRNA from 1 species